rnacentral:rRNA from 1 species
GACGAACGCUGGCGGCGUGCUUAACACAUGCAAGUCGAACGGAAAGGUCCUGCUUUUGUGGGGUGCUCGAGUGGCGAACGGGUGAGUAACACGUGAGUAACCUGCCCUUGACUUUGGGAUAACUUCAGGAAACUGGGGCUCAUACCGGAUAGGAGCUCCUGCUGCAUGGUGGGGGUUGGAAAGAUUCGGCGGUUGGGGAUGGACUCGCGGCUUAUCAGCUUGUUGGUGGGGUAGUGGCUUACCAAGGCUUUGACGGGUAGCCGGCCUGAGAGGGUGACCGGCCACAUUGGGACUGCGAUACGGCCCAGACUCGUACGUGAGGCAGCGGUGGGGAAUAUUGCACAGUGGGCGGAAGCCUGAUGCGGCGACGCCGCGUGCGGGAUAACGUCCUUCGGGUUGUAAACCGCUUUCGCCUGUGACGAAGCGUGAGUGACGGUAAUGGGUAAAGAAGCACCGGCUAACUACGUG